GAAAAGAAACCAACAGGGAUUGCCCCAGUAACGGCGAGUGAAGCGGCAACAGCUCAAAUUUGAAAUCUGGCCUCGGCCCGAGUUGUAAUUUGCAGAGGAAGCUUCUGGUGCGGCGCCGUCCGAGUCUCCUGGAACGGAGCGCCAUAGAGGGUGAGAGCCCCGUAUGGACGGAUGCCAAACCUGUGUGAAGCUCCUUCGACGAGUCGAGUAGUUUGGGAAUGCUGCUCUAAAUGGGAGGUAAAUUCCUUCUAAAGCUAAAUAUUGGCCAGAGACCGAUAGCGCACAAGUAGAGUGAUCGAAAGAUGAAAAGCACUUUGAAAAGAGGGUUAAACAGCACGUGAAAUUGUUGAAAGGGAAGCGCUUGUGACCAGACUUGAGCGCGGCGGAUCAUCCGGUGUUCUCACCGGUGCACUCCGCCGCGCCCAGGCCAGCAUCGGUUUCCGCGGGGGGACAAAGGUCCCGGGAACGUAGCUCCUCCGGGAGUGUUAUAGCCCGGGGCGUAAUGCCCCCGCGGGGACCGAGGACCGCGCAUCUGCAAGGAUGCUGGCGUAAUGGUCAUCAGCGACCCGUCUUGAAACACGGACCAAGGAGUCAAGGUUUUGCGCGAGUGUUUGGGUGUUAAACCCGCACGCGUAAUGAAAGUGAACGUAGGUGAGAGCUUCGGCGCAUCAUCGACCGAUCCUGAUGUAUUCGGAUGGAUUUGAGUAGGAGCGUUAAGCCUUGGACCCGAAAGAUGGUGAACUAUGCUUGGAUAGGGUGAAGCCAGAGGAAACUCUGGUGGAGGCUCGCAGCGGUUCUGACGUGCAAAUCGAUCGUCAAAUCUGAGCAUGGGGGCGAAAGACUAAUCGAACCAUCUAGUAGCUGGUUACCGCCG
rnacentral:rRNA from 1 species